rnacentral:tRNA from 1 species
AGAAUCGUGCCCGAAUGUCCCAGGGGGUAUUUUGAUAGAAUACACCAUGAGGGUUAAAGCCCCUCCGCUUCUU